rnacentral:rRNA from 1 species
GGGCCCGCACAAGCGGUGGAGCAUGUGGUUUAAUUCGAUGCAACGCGAAGAACCUUACCUGGUCUUGACAUACACAGAAUCUUGUAGAGAUACGAGAGUGCCUUCGGGAAUUGUGAUACAGGUGCUGCAUGGCUGUCGUCAGCUCGUGUCGUGAGAUGUUGGGUUAAGUCCCGCAACGAGCGCAACCCUUGUCCUUAGUUACCAGCGGGUUAAGCCGGGAACUCUAAGGAUACUGCCAGUGACAAACUGGAGGAAGGCGGGGACGACGUCAAGUCAUCAUGCCCCUUACAUCCUGGGCUACACACGUACUACAAUGGUAGGUACAGAGGGCAGCUACACAGCGAUGUGAUGCGAAUCUCAAAAAGCCUAUCGUAGUCCAGAUUGGAGUCUGCAACUCGACUCCAUGAAGUAGGAAUCGCUAGUAAUCG